AAUAUUGGGCAAUGGAGGAAACUCUUACCCAGCAAUGCCGCGUGAAGGAAGAAGGUCUUCGGAUUGUAAACUUCUUUUAUAGGAGACGAAGGAAUGACGGUAGCCUAUGAAAAAGCCCCGGCAAACUAUGUGCCAGCCGCCGCGGUAGUACAUAGGGGGCGAGCGUUGUCCGGAAUGACUGGGCGUAAAGGGAGUGUAGGCGGUUAUGCAAGUUACAUUUGAAAGCCCAGGGCUUAACUCUGGAACUGCAUGUAAAACUGCAUAACUAGAGUGUGGGAGAGGAAAGUGGAAUUCCUAGUGUAGCGGUGGAAUGCGUAGAUAUUAGGAGGAACACCAGUGGCGAAGGCGGCUUUCUGGACCACAACUGACGCUGAGGCUCGAAAGCGUGGGGAGCAAACAGG
rnacentral:rRNA from 1 species